UCGCGGCUCUGCUGUUUUUUGGGAAGUGCUAGAAACACGGCCAUAAAAAGAAUGGCGUCCAUUUACAUAAUGCUUUGUUUGCAUUUUGCAAGUUUCUGUCUGUUAAAGCCACCGAAACCCCACCUCCUGCCCUUGUGUCGUUUCAACCGCGGCAUCCUUGUCAGGCAUUUGAAACAAUAGUGUGUUUCUGUGGAGGCCUCAUUUAUUCAGGCGAUUUGGGGAGUGCCUGCGGUUUUUCCCGCGCGGUCAACGCCCCCUCUGCUGCUUUUCCGCCCCUUCCCCUCAGUGCGGCCGCCGCGCCCUGCGCUCUCCGGGGCGGCCCUGAUGGGGCCCGCCAUCUUGGAAGGCCUUUCCUGCUGAAUUCCUCCCGCUGAGGAAACGUCGCUCGAGUAGUCACUGGCCUACGAGUUCUGAUUUCUGCCCCUUCCCCUUCCUCCUAGGGCUAAGCCAGACCAGGAAAGGCCGUGUGCGCAAUGUGCUUUAGGAUCCCUCGGGAAAAGAGGCCAACGUGGCGUUCCUCCGCCUCCCCCUCUUCUUUCCCCGCGGGGGCGGCCGCCAUGUUUUCUGAACACAAAAUGGCGACACGUGGCCUGGAUUCGUCGCCAACGAGAAAUUGGGGUGGGCCCGAAAGCUCUAGAAUGCACCCUCUUUACUCCCCGGGGCCUUCGCUGCGCUGCGAGCAUUGUGACCACUCCCUCAAAAUCCCCCUGCUGGUCCGAAGCUCAGCGGGAGAAUUUUAACGCGAUACCCUGGCUUUAAUUUGAAAAGGGAUCCUGUAACAUGUAGGCAUGAUAUUGAUUUUCUUGUUCUUUUUAAGUUUAAUAAUGGAUAACGGAGGGGGGGCAGUACCAAGAAAUAAUUUGAGCCUCCACAGUACCAAAGCAUUUGAAUGAGAUGGGAAGUGACUGCUUUCCUAGAUUUCUUAGUCCAGGCUGUCGUGCUUGAGAGACCAAGAUAUUGUGUAAGGCUUCCAUAAAAGCAGAACAAUCUCCACGAAGAGACUAGGAUGCUUAUGACUUUUCCACAGGCCAGCUGGCUGGGGAAUCUCAGUCUACCGCAAUAGGUGUUCCCUUUUAGUCUAGAAAGGACAGGCGUUUAUUGUGCGUUUGUCAGUGCCAGAUUCUGUGGUAGGAAUUUUACUGCAUACUGCCUUUAAUUUUUACCGUGAUCCUCUGAGGUAGGUGUUAUUGCACGCUCUCUCUUUCUCUCUCUCCUUUUUUUAUUUUUUAUUUUUUUAACAGAGGAAGACAUUUAAACCUAGAGAGAUGAAGUGACUAAUUCAAGGUCACGCAGUGUCGGGGGAUGGAGUCCAGACCUGAUUUCCUUACUGGUUUGACUUCCGUCUUCCCCACCCUAACCAGGUACUUAUCCCUGUAUUACAUGAGGAAAAUGAAAUACUAGAACCCUACCCCAUGCUACUCAGUGAGCUGGUAGUGAGGUCAGUCCGUAGAACCAUACUACGUAAGUAUAAUCCAUAUUCCACAUGCCAGCCUUACAAACCUUUGAAGACAGUCUUCCUCUUUAUAAGGCAUAUUUCCUGUCGUUCAUAGCAUCUACACUUGCUGUCAAUUCAGAUAAGUCUGUGCAAAAGCAACCUCUACCUUGCGCUAUUUUGCAAAUACAGCCUAACAAAUCUGUGCUUCACUUGUGAUUGUUUAGGCACAAAGUGAAUGGACUUCCCCACAUCAUUGGAGAGUGAAUGAUGGUGGGCUAAAUCUUUAUAAUUGCAUAUGAGUCUGGAGAGUUUGUAGUCUCUUACUUUUAAAAUCUUUAGGAGGUCAGGCUGCUGCCCUGCACACUCCAUCAGAGCUCACAAAAUGGCUGGAAGUUUAUCCGGGCACUUGACAAACUGUAUUUACUUCAUCAGGCCACUAGGUGGUGAACAACUCACAAACCCAGCCUGCCAGGCACUGCUGUGUACAGGACAGUUUCUGUUUGUACUUAGAAAGGCUAUCAGAAGUCAUCCGGUCCAACCUCAUUGAAAGGUUUUUUGUGGGGAGAGCCAUCUGGUAUGUGACUGCGUGAGGUGUGAGGCUCAGCAGGCUCUGAUAUGGACUAACUAAUGGUGAAUCAGCUGUUGGCUCGGUUGCCAAGCCUGCAAAAUGUAAGCCUCAUGCUGCUGGGGCCAUCCUACUACGCCAAGGGGAAUGCUGCCUGAGACAGAGGCCAGCACAGAUGAAAGCUGAGCUGCGACAUGAAAGAAGUGGAGACCAGAUGACAUCUUUUGAGCACCUGGAUCUAACCAUGCCUUCAGCUAAUCUAGCCUGGACAUUGCAUUUACAUGGGCCCAGACCUUCUUUCUUUUUUUUUUUUUUGAGACAGAGUCUCACUCUGUUGCCCGGGCUAGAGUGAGUGCCGUGGCAUCA